AUACGGAGGGUGCAAGCGUUACUCGGAAUCACUGGGCGUAAAGCGCGCGCAGGCGGCUAUUUAAGUUGGAUGUGAAAGCCUACGGCUCAACCAUAGAACUGCAUCCAAAACUAUUUAGCUAGAGUGUGGGAGAGGAGGAUGGAAUUAGUUGUGUAGGGGUAAAAUCCGUAGAGAUAACUAGGAAUACCAAAAGCGAAGGCAAUCUUCUGGAACACUACUGACGCUGAGGCGCGAAAGCGUGGGGAGCAAACAGGAUUAGAAACCCUUGUAGUCC
rnacentral:rRNA from 1 species